UCCCCAAAUAUAUGUUAAGUGGAAAAGGAUGUGGGGUUGCUUAGACAACCAGGAUGUUGGCUUAGAAGCAGCCACCAUUGAAAGAGUGCGUAAUAGCUCACUGGUCGAGUGACCCCGCGCCGAAAAUGUACCGGGGCUAAACAUAUUACCGAAACUGUGGAUGAACCUCUUUAGAGGUUCGUGGUAGGAGAGCGUUCUAAGGGCGGUGAAGUCAGACCGGAAGGACUGGUGGAGCGCUUAGAAGUGAGAAUGCCGGUAUGAGUAGCGAAAGAAGGGUGAGAAUCCCUUCCACCGAAUAUCUAAGGUUUCCUGAGGAAGGCUCGUCCGCUCAGGGUUAGUCGGGACCUAAGCCGAGGCCGAUAGGCGUAGGCGAUGGACAACAGGUAGAGAUUCCUGUACCAGUGCUAAUUGUUUAACCGAUGGGGUGACACAGAAGGAUAGGGAAUCGCACGAAUGGAAAUGUGCGUCCAAGCAGUGAGUGUGAGAAGUAGGCAAAUCCGCUUCUCGCGAAGCAUGAGCUGUGAUGGGGAAGGAAAUUAAGUACGGAAGUUCCUGAUUUCACGCUGUCAAGAAAAGCCUCUAGGAAGAGUAGUACUGCCCGUACCGCAAACCGACACAGGUAGAUGAGGAGAGAAUCCUAAGGUGAGCGAGAGAACUCUCGUUAAGGAACUCGGCAAAAUGACCCCGUAACUUCGGGAGAAGGGGUGCUCUAUUAGGGUGCAAGCCCGAGAGAGCCGCAGUGAAUAGGCCCAGGCGACUGUUUAGCAAAAACACAGGUCUCUGCAAAACCGUAAGGUGACGUAUAGGGGCUGACGCCUGCCCGGUGCUGGAAGGUUAAGAGGAGUGCUUAGCUUCGGCGAAGGUACGAAUUGAAGCCCCAGUAAACGGCGGCCGUAACUAUAACGGUCCUAAGGUAGCGAAAUUCCUUGUCGGGUAAGUUCCGACCCGCACGAAAGGCGCAACGAUCUGGGCACUGUCUCAACGAGAGACUCGGUGAAAUUAUAGUACCUGUGAAGAUGCAGGUUACCCGCGACAGGACGGAAAGACCCCGUGGAGCUUUACUGCAACCUGAUAUGGAAUGUUUGUACCGCUUGUACAGGAUAGGUAGGAGCCGAAGAGACGUGUGCGCUAGCAUACGAGGAGGCAAUGGUGGGAUACUACCCUGGCUGUAUGACCAUUCUAACCCGCCACGCUUAGCGCGUGGGGAGACAGUGUCAGGUGGGCAGUUUGACUGGGGCGGUCGCCUCCUAAAGAGUAACGGAGGCGCCCAAAGGUUCCCUCAGAAUGGAUGGAAAUCAUUCGCAGAGUGUAAAGGCACAAGGGAGCUUGACUGCGAGACUGACAAGUCGAGCAGGGACGAAAGUCGGGCUUAGUGAUCCGGUGGUUCCGCAUGGAAGGGCCAUCGCUCAACGGAUAAAAGCUACCCCGGGGAUAACAGGCUUAUCUCCCCCAAGAGUCCACAUCGACGGGGAGGUUUGGCACCUCGAUGUCGGCUCGUCGCAUCCUGGGGCUGUAGUCGGUCCCAAGGGUUGGGCUGUUCGCCCAUUAAAGCGGCACGCGAGCUGGGUUCAGAACGUCGUGAGACAGUUCGGUCCCUAUCCGUCGCGGGCGCAGGAAAUUUGAGAGGAGCUGUCCUUAGUACGAGAGGACCGGGAUGGACACACCGCUGGUGUACCAGUUGUUCCGCCAGGAGCAUCGCUGGGUAGCUAUGUGUGGCAGGGAUAAACGCUGAAAGCAUCUAAGCGUGAAGCCCCCCUCAAGAUGAGAUUUCCCAUUUCUUCGGAAAGUAAGAUCCCUGAAAGAUGAUCAGGUAGAUAGGUUUGGAGUGGAAGUGUAGCGAUACAUGGAGCGGACAAAUACUAAUCGAUCGAGGACUUAACCAAAA
rnacentral:rRNA from 1 species